rnacentral:rRNA from 1 species
CGCUGGCGGCGUGCCUAAUACAUGCAAGUCGAACGGUCUUUCUAUGGAAGCUUGCUCCACUGAGAAGAUAGUGGCGAACGGGUGAGUAACACGUGGGUAACCUGCCCAUAAGAGGGGGAUAACAUCCGGAAACGGGUGCUAAUACCGCAUAGUUUCUUGAUCGCAUGAUUGAGAAAGGAAAGACGGCCUUUGUGCUGUCGCUUAUGGAUGGACCCGCGGCGUAUUAGUUAGUUGGUGAGGUAACGGCUCACCAAGACGAUGAUACGUAGCCGACCUGAGAGGGUGAUCGGCCACAUUGGGACUGAGACACGGCCCAAACUCCUACGGGAGGCAGCAGUAGGGAAUCUUCCGCAAUGGACGAAAGUCUGACGGAGCAACGCCGCGUGAGUGAAAGAAGGUUUUCGGAUCGUAAAACUCUGUUGUCAGAGAAGAACAAGUUGGAGAGUAACUGCUCCAGCCUUGACGGUAUCUGACCAGAAAGCCACGGCUAACUACGUGCCAGCCGCCGC